rnacentral:rRNA from 1 species
UACGGGGGGGGCAAGCGUUGUUCGGAAUUACUGGGCGUAAAGGGCUCGUAGGCGGCCCACUAAGUCAGACGUGAAAUCCCUCGGCUUAACCGGGGAACUGCGUCUGAUACUGGAUGGCUUGAGUUCGGUAGGGGAGACUGGAAUUCCUGGUGUAGCGGUGAAAUGCGCAGAUAUCAGGAGGAACACCGGUGGCGAAGGCGGGUCUCUGGGCCGAUACUGACGCUGAGGAGCGAAAGCGUGGGGAGCGAACAGG